GUCUUCUUUACCGAAGACUGCAGCAUUAAUAUAUAGCUAUUAAGGCGAUGAAGAAAACAUUGCGUUAAAAUUAAAAUCUGACAUAUAAAAUAUUAAUAAAAUUUUUUUAUUAAUAUUUUAUAUUAAGAUGAUAAACGCUAGAUAACAGAGCCUUUGAU